rnacentral:rRNA from 1 species
GUAGGGAAUAUUGCACAAUGGACGAAAGUCUGAUGCAGCAACGCCGCGUGAGUGAAGAAGGCCCUUGGGUCGUAAAGCUCUUUAGCGAGGAAAGAAGCUGCUUGCGGUGAAUAAUCGCAAGUGGUGACGGUACCUCGAGAAUAAGCACCGGCUAAUUUCGUGCCAGCAGCCGCGGUAAUACGAAAGGUGCGAGCGUUACUCGGAAUCACUGGGCGUAAAGCGCGCGUAGGUCGGCUUGUAGGUCGGUUGUGAAAUACCUGGGCUCAACCCAGGAGGGGCAGCCGAAACCACAAGCCUUGAAUACUUGAGAGGGUGGGGGAAUACCUGGUGGAGAAGUGAAAUUCGUAGAGAUCAGGUGGAACACCGGAGGCGAAGGCGCCUGCCUGGCAAUGUAUUGACGCUGAAGUGCGAAAGUGCGGGGAGCAAACAGGAUUAGAUACCCGAGUAGUCC